CCCCUAGAUGUUCUGGGCCGCACGCGCGCUACACUGAUGCAUUCAACGAGUCUAAAACCUGCUCUGAUAGGGGUGGGUAAUCUUUUGAAUGUGCAUCGUGAUUGGGAUAGAUGAUUGCAAUUUUUCAUCUUCAACGAGGAAUGCCUAGUAAACGCAAGUCAUCAGCUUGCAUUGAUUACGUCCCUGCCCUUUGUACACACCGCCCGUCGCUCCUACCGAUUGAAUGAUCCGAUGAAUAUCAUGGAUUGAGGAUGCAAGUAGGUUCGCCUAUCUUCAUCUUCGAGAAGUGAAGUAAAUCUUAUCAUUUAGAGGAAGGAGAAGUCGUAACA
rnacentral:rRNA from 1 species